GACGAACGCUGGCGGCGUGCUUAACACAUGCAAGUCGAACGGAAAGGCCCUGCUUUUGUGGGGUGCUCGAGUGGCGAACGGGUGAGUAACACGUGCGUAACCUGCCCUUGACUUUGGGAUAACUUCAGGAAACUGGGGCUAAUACCGGAUAGGAGCUCCUGCUGCAUGGUGGGGGUUGGAAAGUUUCGGCGGUUGGGGAUGGACUCGCGGCUUAUCAGCUUGUUGGUGGGGUAGUGGCUUACCAAGGCUUUGACGGGUAGCCGGCCUGAGAGGGUGACCGGCCACAUUGGGACUGAGAUACGGCCCAGACUCCUACGGGAGGCAGCAGUGGGGAAUAUUGCACAAUGGGCGGAAGCUUGAUGCAGCAACGCCGCGUGCGGGAUGACGGCCUUCGGGUUGUAAACCGCUUUCGCCUGUGACGAAGCGUGAGUGACGGUAAUGGGUAAAGAAGCACCGGCUAACUACGUG
rnacentral:rRNA from 1 species